rnacentral:sRNA from 1 species
UGAAUAUCAAAGUUUGGGAAAAACAGUA